GAUGAACGCUGGCGGCGUGCUUAACACAUGCAAGUCGAACGGAAAGGCUCUUGCUUGCGGGGGUACUCGAGUGGCGAACGGGUGAGUAACACGUGGGUGAUCUGCCCUCCACUUCGGGAUAAGCCUGGGAAACUGGGUCUAAUACCGGAUAGGACGUUGUUUUGGAUGCAAUUGUGGAAAGUUUUUCGGUGUGGGAUGAGCUCGCGGCCUAUCAGCUUGUUGUUGGGGUAAUGGCCUACCAAGGCGUCGACGGGUAGCCGGCCUGAGAGGGUGUACGGCCACAUUGGGACUGAGAUACGGCCCAGACUCCUACGGGAGGCAGCAGUGGGGAAUAUUGCACAAUGGGCGCAAGCCUGAUGCAGCGACGCCGCGUGGGGGAUGACGGCCUUCGGGUUGUAAACUCCUUUCGCUAGGGACGAAGCGCAAGUGACGGUACCUGGAGAAGAAGCACCGGCUAACUACGUG
rnacentral:rRNA from 1 species